AUCUCUUGGACCUGGGCUGCUUUCUGAGGACGAGUGCUGUGUAGCUAGAGAGCCCCUUCAUCAGUUGGGCUCUGGAGGAAAUUUUCUGGCCUGUCCUCAACUGAUACUAGAGAAACGGUAUUAAAAAGCCACUAAGGAGUUCAGUGGAGAGAAAUGGCAAGUUCCUAAUUCUGGUGGAAAUAAGAGCCUGGAAUGGAGGAAGGCAGACGCCUGGCACUGGGCAGCUCUUCAGAAGAGGACUCGGAACUCAGGUGAAGUGCAGGGGGACCUGAGCUCACUGAACUGUGUUGGUGCAAGGAGGCAGCUUGUGAGCACAUCAGAGCAAAGGCAGGCAGACCCUUGUAGCCCAUGUGCUGCCCAUGGGGCAGAGAUGGCUGGGGCUGGGCAGUGCAGUGCAGGCUCUGGGAGAUGUGGGAGCGCAGUGCAUCAGGUCACUGGGGAAUGGAACAGUGGCAUCAGCUGAAAUGCCUCCGAUGUCCUAUGAAAAUUCAUGGCAUACAACUGACAAGCCUCUGUUUCUGCUGCUUCUUGUCCACUUAGGAUAUUCCUUGUUCUGCAUAGUUAAGGAACAAAGGCGAUGAGCUCUGCAGCCUCAGCAGUCACAGGAGCGUAUUGCAGAUGCCAGCACAACCUCUGAGGGCGAAGCCCUGAGAGGGGAUACCUCUUCUGAGCACAGCCUGAGAGGAUGGGCUGUGAGACAGCUGCAGUGAAACCCAGCCUGACUGGGACCCAUAAGGAAAUUCUGCAUCUCUGGCUGAAAAUCAAAUAACCUGGUUCUUAGAAAUACAUUGCUUCUCUGUGCUUCUACACAGUCUAAAUGGCACCUCUUUUGCUGUUUAACAAAUCUCCCUAGAAAAUGUCACUCUCUGUAAAAUUACAGAUUUUGGAUAAAAGCUAAAGUCUCAGCAUGCAUAAUAUAUUAUUCUUGUGUCUGGGCCCAUAGCCUUUUAUCCCAAAUAAGAAAUAAAGCAAUUGUUG
ensembl:lncRNA